AAAAAAAAAAAGAUCCUUAUGCUAGUUCACCAGGUCAGUGACUAAGAAUAGCAUCAAGCUAAAAUCAUACUUAGUUGUAUCCUGUCUCACUUGUGAUAAUGAGAGCUUAGAUCCCAUUACAUACUGAACAUAUAUCAUAGAUAUUGGACUGUCCGGGUGUAAAGGACUACUACUGGUUGUUCAGGUGAAGCUGAAAUGAUGGAGAUAGAGCUCUCCAAGGCAUCUACAGAUGUACCAGCUC